rnacentral:lncRNA from 1 species
UCUCAGGGCACUGGACCCACAAGGAGGAGAACCUCUCGUUGGCUGCCCAGCACGCUUCUUCUAAAGGAGUUCAGCAUACAAUAUGCAAAGAGUAAAGUCACCGUGAUAUUUUGCUAAGGUACUUCUUUGCUGUUUGCUUGCUGGCGUUAUUGGGGUUUAAGAAGCUAAAAAGAGAGUGGCCGCAAUCAGUGCUCUUCGUUUGACUUCCUACAAAGGCAUAGUUACCUGAGGGGCAAGAGGAUCGUUGCCCUUUAAUGUUUCUAUUGCAGGGUGUUUCAUGGGUCUCGCACAAUCCACAGCUGGAGUCCAUUAUGAAGAAACACCAAAGAUGAUACCAGUUAAUCAUUCCUGAUAUGGUGAGCACUGAAAAACAGCAGCACCUGUGAAGAAGCAAAAGGCAAUCUGCUUCAGGAGCUCCCAGAAACACUUGUGAGUCAUGGGCUUGAAAUUUGGCCCCUUCCACUUAGCACCAAGAGGAAUGUCUUCUCUGCCAGAUACAGAUUAUCAUUUCUUGCUGGCUUUGAACGUAUUGGUACAUGAGACAGAGACCAGUCUCCACUGACUCCAUGAUCAUUUACUGAAUUAAUUACCCUAUGACUGUAGCGAUUCAAAUCCAGUUCCCACCUGCUCUCUCCCUCCCAUACUAACCUGCCUAUAUCUCCAGGCUGUAUCUGUUAUCCUAUCAGCAUUCGACAACGUAGGAUACCUUGUGCUUGAAGGUUUGGAGGAAACUGUCAUUCAUGAGACACUUCUGUACCUGCAAACACGUUCUUCCUGGAGACUGUGUGUUCUCUCUGAAGAGAGAGCUGAUUUACAAGGAAAGACUAAUCAACUAAUGUUAGAAGACUAACAACAUUCAACUGCAACAACAUAUGGCAUUAGGAAUACUGCUUGAAUAGGGAGUUUCAGAUGAAGCUCAGAAUUCCACCUAUGUUUCUGCCUAGAAUUGCAGCACAUGCCUCUUAAUGCACAUCUGCUUUUGUCUGCAUAUUCUAGUUAUAUUUAGGCACUUGCAUAACUAAAC